rnacentral:rRNA from 1 species
AUUGAACGCUGGCGGCAGGCCUAACACAUGCAAGUCGAGCGGAUGAAGGGAGCUUGCUCCUGGAUUCAGCGGCGGACGGGUGAGUAAUGCCUAGGAAUCUGCCUGGUAGUGGGGGAUAACGUCCGGAAACGGGCGCUAAUACCGCAUCCGUCCUGAGGGAGAAAGUGGGGGAUCUUCGGACCUCACGCUAUCAGAUGAGCCUAGGUCGGAUUAGCUAGUUGGUGGGGUAAAGGCCUACCAAGGCGACGAUCCGUAACUGGUCUGAGAGGAUGAUCAGUCACACUGGAACUGAGACACGGUCCAGACUCCUACGGGAGGCAGCAGUGGGGAAUAUUGGACAAUGGGCGAAAGCCUGAUCCAGCCAUGCCGCGUGUGUGAAGAAGGUCUUCGGAUUGUAAAGCACUGUAAGUUGGGAGGAAGGGCAGUAAGUUAAUACCUGGCUGUUUUGACGUUACCAACAGAAUAAGCACCGGCUAACUUCGUG